rnacentral:rRNA from 1 species
UACGAAGGGGGCUAGCGUCGUUCGGAAUUACUGGGCGUAAAGCGCGCGAAGGCGGUCUUCCGAGUCAGUGGUGAAAGCCCGGAGCUCAACUCCGGAACUGCCAUUGAAACUGUGAGACUUGAGGAUGAGAGAGGUGAGUGGAAUUCCCAGUGUAGAGGUGAAAUUCGUAGAUAUUGGGAAGAACACCGGUGGCGAAGGCGGCUCACUGGCUCAUUUCUGACGCUCAGGCGCGACAGCGUGGGGAUCAAACAGG